rnacentral:rRNA from 1 species
UACGGGGGGGGCAAGCGUUGUUCGGAUUUACUGGGCGUAAAGGGCGUGCAGGCGGUUUGUUAAGUGCAGGGUGAAAGCUCCCGGCUCAACUGGGAGAGGUCCUUGCAUACUGGCAGACUUGAGGGAGGCAGGGGAAAGUGGAAUUCCCGGUGUAGUGGUGAUAUGCGUAGAUAUCAGGAGGAACACCGAUUGCGAAGGCAGCUCGCUGGGACGUUACUGACGCUGAGACGCGAAAGCGUGGGGAGCAAACAGG